AGUGGGGCUUCCGCCUCCUCGAGGCAGCCCGGGAUCCAGAGGGCGCCUGGACAAGGUAGGGCCCCCAUCCCGCCCCCGGCUCCGCGUAAGAAUCUCCGACGUCACCUCCUCCCGCUCCCGGGCCUCCCCGGCAGCCCCCACGACAGUCCACCCGGGCCCGGCCCGGCCCGGGCUCCCGCUCUCUCGGCCGCUCUCCGCGGAGCCCGAGGGGCAGCACCCAACCCGGGGACCGCGGCCUCUCUUCCCCAUCGAGGCGUCUGCAGGGCUCCCCGUAGCGGCGCGGGGCUCGGGGACACGGACGCGAAGGAACCUGAACAUCUCCAGAGCGUGGAGGUUGUGGGGGAUGAGCCCCAAGAGGCGCACCCCUCCCAGGCUGCCGGGACCUAAGGGUCUCACUGCAUCACCCAGGCUGAGAACAUUGGCGCAGUCAUGGCUCACUGCAGCCUCUGCCUUCUGGGCUCAAGGGAUCCUCCUGCCUCAGUAGCUGGGACCGAAGGUACAUGAAACCAAGCUGUGCCCUGACCACCUUGGGCACAUUUCGUCAGGACCUCCUGUGUCAUGGGUGCCUCCUUAACCUUGGCAAAACAAACUUUCUUUUUUUUUUUUUUUUGAAACAGAGUCUUGCUCUGUUACCCAAGCUGGAGUGCAGUGGCGUAAUCUCUGCUCACUGCAACCUCCGCCUCCUGGCUUCAAAUGAUUCUCCUGCCUCAGCCUCCCGAGUAGCUGGGAUUACAGGCACCUGCCACCAC